GACGUAGGGCGCGAGCGUUUGUCCGGAUUUAUUGGGCGUAAAGAGCUCGUAGGCGGCUUGUCGCGUCGACUGUGAAAACCCGCGGCUCAACCGCGGGCCUGCAGCCGAUACGGGCAGGCUAGAGUUCGGUAGGGGAGACUGGAAUUCCUGGUGUAGCGGUGAAAUGCGCAGAUAUCAGGAGGAACACCGGUGGCGAAGGCGGCAUCCUGGACCAUUACUGACGCUGAGGCGCGAAAGCUAGGGGAGCAAACGGG
rnacentral:rRNA from 1 species